rnacentral:tRNA from 1 species
GGCGGAAUAGUUCAGUGGUUAGAACUAUGGAAUCAUAAUCCAUGUGUCGGGGGUUCAAAUCCCUCUUCCGCUA